rnacentral:rRNA from 1 species
AACGUAGGACGCAAGCGUUAUCCGGAGUUACUGGGCGUAAAGCGCGGGCAGGCGGUCUUGCCAGGCUGAUGUGAAAUCUCCCCGCUCAACGGGGAGCAGCCAUUGGAAACUACAAGACUGGAGUCUGACAGAGGUAGGCGGAAUUCCGGGUGGAGUGGUGAAAUGCGUAGAGAUCCGGAGGAACACCAGAGGCGAAGGCGGCCUACUGGGUCAGUACUGACGCUGAGCCGCGAAAGCCAGGGGAGCGAACGGG